AGCAUGCCUUCAACAACAACACACCUAAAUCACAAGCUUCCCCUGCUCUCAGCCCUCCGUCUGUUUCCCUGCCUUGUGGAUCUACGUAGCUGUCCACGGUCAUUAUACAGUAGAUAUACAGUAUAUCCAUGCACAGAGAGGUCUAAGUGCCACCUGGCAGCAACCGUCUGCUUGAUAUGUCUGCUUUACCAGGGGCAGACUAUAGGAGGGCAUCGCAGAGAAUUUAUCAGACAAUGAAGAGAAGGUAGGAUGGGGGUCACAAAAAAAUUAUACACUUUUUAAACCCAUACUUAAGCACAAGGUAAGUAUAUUUAGCAUGUUUGAAGAAAUGCCACAAAACUAAAUUAAUAGGUAAAGAACAAUGUCUGAGAUGAUGAAUGAGAUGUUAUAGGUGAAGUACAUUCUGUGAAACGUUAGUAUGUAAGGUAUGCCUGCACUUGCCUGAGACCUUGCUUUAGUAAAAGUUUGUGUCAGUUACAGGAGGCAGACUAGUUGCUGGUGUUUUACAGCAUUUAAUCUUACUUCCAUUUAUCCUAUUUGAUAUCCAGCACAUUUAUACUUCUUUGCACAGGCCACCAAGACGCAUCUUGAUCCUUGUGUAAAUAGAUCUUUGUCUUACUUUCAUUUGCUUAAAUGUAUUUAUUCAAUGCCUGUGCAUUCAUCAAUGUAGUACUUUCACUCUUUUAUAUACACACACACACACACACACACACAUGCGCUUCAUGCUAUAAAAGAUUUAUUACAUGGUGUAAUGGGGUACCUGGCAAACAGUGUGAGCUGGUGAUUAAAUACAGGUCUGUAAAUGUCACUUGUUUUUUAAUGCCAUGGCAACAGAGCCACUAUUUUUAUUUUUGUUUGGUCUUAAUUGUCACUGCCGGUUGGCUCGUUAUGCCCUAUGCUACUUUAUUACAGCAUUGUAUCCUGGCUGGUUGUGUAGAACAGGAUGCUUCACAUUUAAAUAAAAGAGAGAAAGAGGUACAAAAAUUUAUAAAGUGUAGUACAGUAGAUUUAGAAUUUCAAUGUACUGGAGGACGUAAAUCGCAAUGUUAAUUGCCACAUUGAGAGAAAUAGGGCUUACAAACAGGGGAAUACUAAGAGAUGGAGGACAUUACCUUGUGAAGCUAAAUAAAAAAAUAUUUAUAAUUGCACCAGUAGCGCUAAUCGUAGUUUGCUCAAAGACAUGGAUGGCUUGUAGGGAGAAGACCAGACUGGGUUGUAUGGAAGUACAUGGUCCUUGUGAGAACAAGAUCAGAUCCCCUGUCACCCCCUAACCAAAUAUCUGAAAUGUUCUAAUGCCUGUUUACAACUACACUGUAUAAUACAAAAAGCAAAAAUCUCAACCUCAACCAUUCCAAAUAAGAUGAUAUAGACUUACCACUGCUGAUACUUCCUUAUCUGCAGCAUACCCAAAUCCUAUACCACAGUUACAUGACAUGCAUAUUCAUAACUGCGCUCCUCCUUCAUCAGCAUCUGCUUCAUCUGUGACCAAUCACAACAUUAUUUUGAAAUUUAUUAGGCCUGUAUUCAUAAGUAUUUUUUAGGCCUGCUUUCACUGUGGACCUAUAGACCUAUAUCUCAGGACUAGUGGUUGCAAAAUGGGAACACAUCCUGGGCGGGACACCAGUCCAUUGCAGGGCAAAGUGCACACACACAUGCAGAGCUAAGAGCAAUAUACUGUUGCUAAUCAACACCACACAGACAGUAAAUCAACCGCUGGAUCAAACCAGGGAUCCUGGAACGGUAAGGUGGCAAUGCUUGUCUGUAGGUCAGGUCUGUGCAACUAUAAAAUUCAUGACAUCAUUAUCAGCAUAUGGGUCCCAUGGCAGAGAUGGACACUAAUUUCCAUAGCUUGCAUAUACAGUAAGAAAGAUCAGCAAGUCGUGAGCACUCUUGGCCCACAAUGAAGUUUAUCGUUACCCACAGAGAGUUAAAGUGUGAGAGUUCGGUGUGCUGUGGAUCAAAUAGAAAUCUGCUACAUGUGGCAUUGUGCUCUCUGGGUCUCUCCCUUUUCCAUUCAGCCACUUCUGACAGGGUAGAAAUAUACAGCCUGAGUGCCCUUUUUCCUAAUGGAAGUGAGCAUCUUUCAUGGUUAAGAGUGCGAAAGAAGCUGUCCCAUAGAUUUCUUGCCAAUAACAGGAACUAGUUGCUGGGUAAAGCUGGUACCAUUCUGGGCUGAUAGUGGGCUCAGUCAGGGCUGCCUUCUUUAAUGGCUCUCUUCCCAAAAAUCGAUGUUUCCAUAUAAAACUGCAUGGUGUAUGUAAAUGAUCAAGUGAAUGGUUAUGGCAACAAGAUAUCUAAGGUUUCUUGAUUGCAUUUCAACAAUUAUGCGAGAAACAUGAAGUGCUCCGCUGAAAUGCACCCACCAUGAUACUGCAUGGCACUACUAGGUUCUAUUUUAUAUCUAAUUUUACAACAGAACACACAGCAGUAAAGCUGUGGUAAUGUGCCUUCACAAAUGGGUGAAAAGAUAAUGCUUUUGUCUGUCUUGCUGUUCCUGAUGUCGUUAUGGAUGUUGAUUUGCAACUGACAUUUACCGCUUUUACCAAGACUUCCCUAUUCCCCCCUCCCUAUCUUGCCAAUUAGCUGCAUGGUCACAGAGGAUGUUGUUUGGCAUAUUUGGCUGUGUGCAGAUUGAAUUUGCUCCAGGGUUGGGUUCAGCUCUCAGCAGCGCAAAUGAUUAUCUGACCAUCUUGUAUAGAGCAGUAAUGGAACAGUUAUGCCACAGCCAGUCCUGUUAACAACAAGAAUGGUCCUGUUUAAAAACACCCAUUUCUGAGAGUCAAUUUCAGGAUGAAUAAGACCAGCAACAUGGAAACUGCAGAAGAACAAGGAGGAAGGUGUUACCAAUGCAAUGAAAUGCUACACAGAACAGAUGGACCUUCGUUCAAGCAUUUGAGCCACUGAUUAAAUGAUUCUAAUGUGACAAUUCUCUCUCUCUCUCUCUCUCUCUCUCUCUCUCUCUCUCUCUCUCUCUCUCUCGCUUGCUCAUUGUUUUUCUUUCCCAGGCCUUGAACAUUAUUUCCCUCCCUCGCCUCUGGAAAGGCAGGACUGCCCGACUCCAACUCAGCCUUGGUGAUAACAGACCACCAGAUAAACACCAAAAGCUUUUAACUUAAUUCUGUUUGUGUGUGAGAUCAAUUAGCUUUUCAACAGAGUCAUUCCUCUGAUUAUUUGGCCCUGUUUUUAAUUAUACAGUGAUGCUGCAGGCUGUGCAAAAUCACAGAAAACUCACCCUGGAUGAAGAGGACUUAAGGCUUACUGUGCUUGAUGUAGUUGUGGUAGGAGGUGUCACGCAUUGUGCUUAUGGCUCUGAGCUUGUGAUCCAAAGCUUGUGACUCUGAGAGCCUCUGAUGGGCCCUUGAGCAAGAUUCUUCUCCACCAACUGCUCACCUGUAUGCUUGGAUUGUAUCCUUUCUCAAUUGUAGAUUGCUUUUGAUAAAAACAAAUGACAAAUGAAAAAGUGUCAAAUGGUGUGUAUUUCUUUCUCCUUUGUCCAGCAGGUUUUUUUUUUGUGUGUGUGUGUUUGUCUAAUUUCCCCCCUUUAAACUUUAAAGUAUUAACAGCUCUCCAGGUCUGUUCAAAUGGAACUGUAACUCAAGAAGCUACAAUCAUCAAUUUAAAGGGCAAUUAUAUGAUCAUGUGAAUGACGCAUUGGCCACCUGAAGCUUCCUGGCUCACAACCAUGACAUUCUCUACUCUUGACUGUAAGGUUUGUGGCUUUAUCUUGUAUCUGCCUGUAGAUAAAAUGCCUUUGAAGAAAGUUUGUCCUUGUGUUUUAUGUGCUAGUGUGUGUUUACACGUUCAUGUGUACAAGACAUACUGGUUGGUGUUUAGACCACCAGGCAGGAUGAUGGAGAUUUUGCAUGAAAGUCACCUGGCUGAUGCUGGUCCUGUGUUCAAUAUGAAGAUGAGGUGGGUCCUUCUGCCCCCACCACGAGCACCUUAAUUGCUGCAGGGAUGAUUCGCAAAAGACAGAUAAACUAUCAGAUCAGGCAGCCCACAUCACACACUCCAUCUCCAUACAGGUGUGAUGGUCCAGCAGUUUCCUUUACCAUUAAUCUGAAAAGCAUUGAACAGUUUGCAUCAGGGUGAGAAUGCACGACAGUCCAGACAUCAACAGCUAACAAAACAAAGCUUCAGCAUGGGGGAAACAAGUGGCAGCGUGGACAGUUGGUGUUAUAAUUACAUCUUAAACGGGUCAUUAGAAGAAGGUCAACUUGUUGUGACAUCGCACCUGGUGGCCAACCCGUUGAAGAUGGCUAAGAAAGAUUAGUGCUAGCACUCAAUUGGACACAUCUUGAUCAAACUCAUUACAACUCACAGCAAGCCAUCAUGAUAAAAAAAGAGUGAAAGGGAUAAAAAGCCUACUUCAUGAGGAGUGAAAUCAAAAUGCUGACGUAAAUAAUAGCUUGGACAAUCAGUUUGAAGCAGGCUUCAAAAGGGGCACCCAGUAUGGUUGGAAACUUUCUCUCUAUGCUUUUCAUUGCAGGUGUUUCUUAAUUAACAGAGGCCCACUUCAUAAGACACCCUAUGCCAUUAAUGCCACAUCACAGUCCUGAUGGUAGGUAUUCAUUAAAAAACACUCAGUGACAAGGCGUGGGUAGAAGCUCUUAUGUGAAGAUGUCCUUCAGGGAGUCAACACCUGUGUCUCCAGCAAUAUUUCCAAAUUUGUUUAAUAUAUAUAAAUAUAUAUUCAAUUGUUGAAAUCAUAAAUUGUAUCUGGGUCAUUCUAAACAAGUGCUACAAAUUCAGGGUUGGUAAAGUGUUUUUUCUAUGUAAUGAAGUGUAAUUAACUGAUUUUUAAUAAACUAACUUCAUCUAUUUUUCUGUAAAAUCAUUUCAUUAUAUUUUAACACUCAUUAAUUUAUGCAACUAACCUGAAACAUUAUCUAUUUUUAUGAUAAUGCGAAUAAAAUUAUAGGUGGCACAUUCUAUACAUAACUGUUUCAUAAUCCUCUUGUUAUUUUCAGUCUGAUUACCAGCAUGUGGACAAAAUUACCAUACUUUCCAGGCAAGUAUUUUACAUGAAGUAUUCCUGAACUUUUAAGAUGUCUAUUGAUUAAAAAACAAAAAACAACAACAACAACAAAAAAACAAUAUUCCAUUGUAAACUUGGCACAAAAUAUGUGCCAUAGAGAUGUUUUUAUGUAGUAAAAA